GAUGAACGCUGGCGGCGUGCCUAAUACAUGCAAGUCGAGCGAACGGACAGGAAGCGUGCUUCUCUGAUGUUAGCGGCGGACGGAUGAGUAACGCAUGGAUAACCUACCUCUUUUUCUUGGGUGACUUCGGGAAACCGGUGCUACUACCAGCUAAUAUUUUGAACCGCAUGGUUCAAAAGUGAAUGACGGUCUUGCUGUCACUAAUAGAUGGAUCCGCUCUGCAUUAGCUAGUUGGUAAGGUAACGGCUCACCAAGGCAACGAUGCAUAUCCGACCUGAGAGGGGGGUCGGACACACUGGAACUGAGACACGGUCCAGACUCCUACGGGAGGCAGCAGUAGGGAAUCUUCCGCAAUGGGCGAAAGCCUGACGGAGCAACGCCGCGGGAGUGAAGAAGGUCUUCGGAUCGUAAAACCCUUUUAUUAGGGAAGAACAAAUGUGUAAGUAACUGCGCACUUCUUGAAGGUACCCAAUCAGAAAGCCACGGCUAACUACGUG
rnacentral:rRNA from 1 species